rnacentral:rRNA from 1 species
AUUGAACGCUGGCGGCAGGCCUAACACAUGCAAGUCGAGCGGCAGCGGGAAAGUAGCUUGCUACUUUUGCCGGCGAGCGGCGGACGGGUGAGUAAUGCCUGGGAAAUUGCCCAGUCGAGGGGGAUAACAGUUGGAAACGACUGCUAAUACCGCAUACGCCCUACGGGGGAAAGCAGGGGACCUUCGGGCCUUGCGCGAUUGGAUAUGCCCAGGUGGGAUUAGCUAGUUGGUGGGGUAAUGGCUCACCAAGGCGACGAGCCCUAGCUGGUCUGAGAGGAUGAUCAGCCACACUGGAACUGAGACACGGUCCAGACUCCUACGGGAGGCAGCAGUGGGGAAUAUUGCACAAUGGGGGAAACCCUGAUGCAGCCAUGCCGCGUGUGUGAAGAAGGCCUUCGGGUUGUAAAGCACUUUCAGCGAGGAGGAAAGGUUGAUGCCUAAUACGUAUCAACUGUGACGUUACUCGCAGAAUAAGCACCGGCUAACUUCGUGCCAGCAGCCGCGGUAAGAC